rnacentral:rRNA from 1 species
UGGGGGAUAUUGCACAAUGGGGGAAACCCUGAUGCAGCGACGCCGCGUGGAGGAAGAAGGUUUUCGGAUUGUAAACUCCUGUCGUUAGGGACGAUAAUGACGGUACCUAACAAGAAAGCACCGGCUAACUACGUGCCAGCAGCCGCGGUAAAACGUAGGUCACAAGCGUUGUCCGGAAUUACUGGGUGUAAAGGGAGCGCAGGCGGGAAGACAAGUUGGAAGUGAAAUCUAUGGGCUCAACCCAUAAACUGCUUUCAAAACUGUUUUUCUUGAGUAGUGCAGAGGUAGGCGGAAUUCCCGGUGUAGCGGUGGAAUGCGUAGAUAUCGGGAGGAACACCAGUGGCGAAGGCGGCCUACUGGGCACCAACUGACGCUGAGGCUCGAAAGUGUGGGUAGCAAACAGGAUUAGAUACCCUGGUAGUCCACACCGUAAACGAUGAUUACUAGGUGUUGGAGGAUUGACCCCUUCAGUGCCGCAGUUAACACAAUAAGUAAUCCACCUGGGGAGUACGACCGCAAGGUUGAAACUCAAAGGAAUUGACGGGGGCCCGCACAAGCAGUGGAGUAUGUGGUUUAAUUCGACGCAACGCGAAGAACCUUACCAAGUCUUGACAUCCUGCGACGGUGCUGGAAACAGUACUUUCCUUCGGGACGCAGAGACAGGUGGUGCAUGGUUGUCGUCAGCUCGUGUCGUGAGAUGUUGGGUUAAGUCCCGCAACGAGCGCAACCCUUAUGGUCAGUUACUACGCAAGAGGACUCUGGCCAGACUGCCGUUGACAAAACGGAGGAAGGUGGGGAUGACGUCAAAUCAUCAUGCCCUUUAUGACUUGGGCUACACACGUACUACAAUGGCGUUAAACAAAGAGAAGCAAGACCGCGAGGUGGAGCAAAACUCAGAAACAACGUCCCAGUUCGGACUGCAGGCUGCAACUCGCCUGCACGAAGUCGGAAUUGCUAGUAAUCGUGGAUCAGCAUGCCACGGUGAAUACGUUCCC